GCGGGGAGAGGUGGCUAGCCACCCGUCUGAGAGGAGCUCGGAGUCCGGCUCCCGUAGGAGUCUGGAUGAAGUCUUCUUGCAGCCGGAGUUGGGGACGAGAUCCGGUUCCCGUAGGAGUCCGGAUAGAGUCUUCCUGCAAUUUAAGUCAGGGACAAAGUCCGGCUCUCGUAGGAGUCCGGACAGAGUUUACCUGUAAGUGAAGUCAU
rnacentral:lncRNA from 1 species